UAGCAAGGACCCAAGUGACUAGGGAUCAAAAAAAUAUGCAAUCAAACUAAAUAGCCUCACUAUGAAUAGCCAACACACUGCAAGUCAAAAGAUCAGUCACACUACUAUAGCAUCAAAAAAAUCACUGAUAAGUGAGUGGAUAUCUAAGUAGUUUCUUAUGUUGAUCAUGCUCAGUACAAGUUAUUCUCUAAUAAUCAUCUGUACUCUCACCCCAGUAUCCUCACAUUGCAUACUCGAGAUUCAUCUGCCCAGAAGGAAGGCGAUCCAUACACCAAUCUUAACAAGAUCAAUCACAAUCUCUUGUGACAAUCCUAUGAUCGGAAGUAUUU
rnacentral:lncRNA from 1 species